UACGGAGGAUCCGAGCGUUAUCCGGAUUUAUUGGGUUUAAAGGGUGCGUAGGCGGAAUUGUAAGUCAGUGGUGAAAGCCCUUCGCUUAACGAAGGAACUGCCAUUGAUACUGCAAAUCUUGAGUACAUUUGAUGAGGGCGGAAUGUGUCAUGUAGCGGUGAAAUGCUUAGAUAUGACACAGAACACCGAUUGCGAAGGCAGCUCUCAAAACUGUAACUGACGCUGAGGCACGAAAGCGUGGGUAUCAAACAGG
rnacentral:rRNA from 2 species